GACGAACGCUGGCGGCGUGCUUAACACAUGCAAGUCGAACGGAAAGGCCCUGCUUUUGUGGGGUGUUCGAGUGGCGAACGGGUGAGUAACACGUGAGUAACCUGCCCUUGACUUUGGGAUAACUUCAGGAAACUGGGGCUAACACCGGAUAGGAGCUCCUGCUGCAUGGUGGGGGUUGGAAAGUUUCGGCGGUUGGGGAUGGACUCGCGGCUUAUCAGCUUGUUGGUGGGGUAGUGGCUUACCAAGGCUUUGACGGGUAGCCGGCCUGAGAGGGUGACCGGCCACAUUGGGACUGAGAUACGGCCCAGACUCCUACGGGAGGCAGCAGUGGGGAAUAUUGCACAAUGGGCGGAAGCCUGAUGCAGCAACGCCGCGGGCGGGAUGACGGCCUUCGGGUUGUAAACCGCUUUCGCCUGUGACGAAGCGUGAGUGACGGUAAUGGGUAAAGAAGCACCGGCUAACUACGUG
rnacentral:rRNA from 1 species